UGGAGGAGAACAGGAUGGAGACAAAAGGUGAGAAGAAGCUGAAGGCGAUGGUGUCCCAGUGCUGGAGGUGGUCGGGGAAGUGCCUGUGCUGCCCCCUGAAAAAUAAAAGAAUUAUAUUUGCGUCUGAGGAUGAAACUUACACAAAAGUGUGCAUGGCCAACAAGGACUUUUCAAGGAAUCCUUUUAAUAUAAAGGAGUUUGGGAAGGGGACAGCUGAGAAGGAGGAGGAAGAACAUCUCCCACUUCUUGUUUUUGGAUCACUGCGUGGCCUCGGCGAUAGGGCCGGCCGGGGAAGGUCAGAGAUUCGUUUUCAGCAAGCGGCAUUCCGCACACAGCUUCCUCCUCUUCCACCCUAAACACUAUGAGCUUCGGUGAAAGCAGCGCUGUGGCGCAAGUGGAGAAACUCGACUCCAGCUGUAAAGAGUGAAGAAGGAGUGAAAGAAGGAGAAAGGAAUCACAGGGCAUUUGAGUUCUGAUGGGGAGACUCUCAGGUGUUGGCUUCUGUCCACGGAGCUGAGCAUGUCUGGCCUCCCCGCACUCUGGUGAGCAUAUGUCACAGCUAGAUGCCCGGAUGUAACAGGCUGGAGGAGCCUCCGUGGUUGCGAAUGACAGAGCACUGGGCCCGUGACCACUAUGGGCCCACUAAGCCUGUACACCCAAAGGCUAAACCAGCUCUGUUUCCUCUCUGAACGAUCUUUCCCUCUCGCCUCACCCCUGCCUAGAAUGGAAAUUCCAUGCUCUGUGUCUCUAUUCUCAGAUCAAGCAAGCGGAAUUGAACACAAAUAGGUAGGUUGGUGUCUUUCCCACUGUCCCCAGAGGCCUUAAUCCAUGUCUGAGAGGUGAUUAAAAUGUAAUGCCCUAAGUAGCUGAAAACUCUCUGGUAUUCCAGGACCAAUCCCCCACCCGCCCCACCUCCCUGCAUCUUGUUUUACCCAUGGACCCAAGUGAGGAGAUACUCAUUGAAAUUCAUAUUCAACAUUAACUUGUUCCAAUAUUCAAGGCUCACAGCCAAAAUAACCAAAAAGGAUACAUGUUUAGCAGUGAUUCCAUACGAGGACAAUAACCUAGAAUAUACUUGUGUACCAUGAAGACAAGUACAAUGUGACCAUGAAAAUCCUGAAUACCAAACCUGCUGACUUUUGCAUCUUUAAAUUGAUCACUUCCAGAUUGUAAUAUGGAGGCGUUCACAUACAGUUUCCUUUUGGGUUUAUUUUGUUGUGCUUUCCCCCCCCAAAAAAAUUGAAAAACAGUAAAAACAAGACCCCAUCUGGGCUAGUAAAGAAUAAAUUUCCAUGUAAUUA